ACUUUUUAUCUUAAAGUGAACUAUCAAACAAUCGCUAUAUUCUAAAAAUUUUAAACUGUUAGAGAUUUUUAUAUUUAACACCUUCCUCGCGUCUGGGCCUAAGACUUUUUUCCAAGACCAUGAUACAGACUUGAAUUAAAUGAGAAAAAAUUAAUAAUGCUAAAAGCCUGACGUGACUCGAAUUCAGAAUUUUCUAUUCUGAUAUCAUGCGUAAUAAUUAUUGUACUCUAAAAGUUUAAACUGUUAGAAAAUAGUAUUCAUAUAUUUUUAUAUUAAACACUAAGUGAUAUUUAGAAGCAGGAUUUGUAUACUAUGUA
rnacentral:lncRNA from 1 species